rnacentral:rRNA from 1 species
UUAGAGUUUGAUCCUGGCUCAGGAUGAACUCUGGCGGCAGGCUUAAUACAUGCAAGUCGAACGGUAAGGCCCGAAGUAGCAAUACAGGAAGGUACACGAGUGGCGCACGGGUGCGUAACGCGUAUGUAAUCUGCCCUUGACCGGAACAAAACAGCUGGAAACGGCUGCUAAUAUUCCAUGGUCAUUUUCGGAGGCAUCUCCGGGGAUGUAAAGAUUUAUUGGUCAAGGAUGAGCAUGCGUAUUAUUAGAUAGUUGGUGGGGUAACGGCCCACCAAGUCGACGAUGAUUAGGGGUUCUGAGAGGAUUAACCCCCUCACUGGAACUGAGACACGGUCCAGACUCCUACGGGAGGCAGCAGUAGGGAAUAUUGGGCAAUGGAAGGAAUUCUGACCCAGCCAUGCCGCGUGAAGGAAGACGGUCCUAUGGAUUGUAAACUUCUUUUAUCGCAGAGUAAAUUGGGGCACGUGUGCCCCAUUGAGAGUAUGCGAUGAAUAAGUAUCGGCUAACUCCGUGCCAGCAGCCGCGGUAAUACGGAGGAUACGAGCGUUAUCCGGAUUUAUUGGGUUUAAAGGGUGCGUAGGCGGACUGGUAAGUCAGCGGUGAAAUAUGCCGGCUCAACCGGCAGGCUGCCGUUGAUACUGCCAGACUAGAGUACAAACGGCGCCGGCGGAAUAUGUCAUGUAGCGGUGAAAUGCUUAGAGAUGACAUAGAACACCGAUCGCGUAGGCAGCUGGCGAGGAUGGCACUGACGCUCAUGCACGAAAGCGUGGGGAUCAAACAGGAUUAGAUACCCUGGUAGUCCACGCAGUAAACGAUGAUGACUUGUUGUCGGCGAUAGACAGUCGGCGACAAAGCGAAAGCGAUAAGUCAUCCACCUGGGGAGUACGAUCGCAAGGUUGAAACUCAAAGGAAUUGACGGGGGCCCGCACAAGCGGAGGAGCAUGUGGUUUAAUUCGAUGAUACGCGAGGAACCUUACCCAGACUCAAAUGCAGAUGGAGCUCGGCAGAGAUGCCGGGGCCCUUCGGGGCCGUCUGCAAGGUGCUGCAUGGUUGUCGUCAGCUCGUGCCGUGAGGUGUCAGGUUAAGUCCUAUAACGAGCGCAACCCCUACGUCCAGUUGCCAGCGGGUAAAGCCGGGGACUCUGGAGGGACUGCCGGCGCAAGCCGAGAGGAAGGUGGGGAUGACGUCAAAUCAGCACGGCCCUUACGUCUGGGGCGACACACGUGCUACAAUGGCCGGUACAGAGGGCAGCGACACUGCGAGGUGGAGCGAAUCUCGAAAGCCGGUCUCAGUUCGGAUCGGAGUCUGCAACCCGACUCCGUGAAGUUGGAUUCGCUAGUAAUCGCGCAUCAGCCAUGGCGCGGUGAAUACGUUCCCGGGCCUUGCACACACCGCCCGUCAAG